UACGGAGGGUGCGAGCGUUGUCCGGAAUCACUGGGCGUAAAGGGCGCGUAGGCGGUUGGGGAAGUCCGUGGUGAAAGCUCGUGGCUCAACUACGAGUCGGCCAUGGAUACUCCUUGACUUGAGCACUGUAGAGGCAGAUGGAAUUCCGGGUGUAGCGGUGGAAUGCGUAGAGAUUCGGAAGAACACCCAUGGCGAAGGCAGCACUCUGGGCUUGAGCCGCAAGGUUAACCUGACACUGAGGUACGAAAGCCAGGGGAGCGAACGGG
rnacentral:rRNA from 1 species